rnacentral:SRP_RNA from 1 species
UGAAGUCUGCCCGAAGCACGUAGUGUUUGAAGAUUUCGGUCCUAUGCAAUAUGAACCCAUGAAUCAUGUCAGGUCCUGACGGAAGCAGCAUUAAGUGGACUCUCAUAUGUGCCGUAGGGUAGCCGAGAUUUAGCUAACGACUUCGGUAACGUUUGUGAUAUACGUUCGAUACAAAGGUGCACGG